rnacentral:rRNA from 1 species
UACAGAGGGGGGCGAGCGUUGUUCGGAAUUACUGGGCGUAAAGGGCUCGUAGGUGGCCAACUAAGUCAGACGUGAAAUCCCUCGGCUUAACCGGGGAACUGCGUCUGAUACUGGAUGGCUUGAGAUUGGGAGAGGGAUGCGGAAUUCCAGGUGUAGCGGUGAAAUGCGUAGAUAUCUGGAGGAACACCGGUGGCGAAGGCGGCAUCCUGGACCAACACUGACACUGAGGAGCGAAAGCAUGGGGAGCGAACAGG